rnacentral:rRNA from 1 species
GAGUUUGAUUAUGGCUCAGAACGAACGCUGACGGCGCGUCUUAAGCAUGCAAGUCGAACGGUAAGAGAGGAGCUUGCUCUUCUCCUAGAGUGGCGGACUGGUGAGUAACGCGUAGGUGACCUACCCUGAAGAUGGGGAUAGCUAGUAGAAAUAUUAGAUAAUACCGAAUAAGCUCAUAGACGUAAACGGAUAUGAGGAAAGGAGCUACGGCUCCGCUUUAGGAUGGGCCUGCGUCCCAUUAGCUAAGUUGGUGAGGUAAAGGCUCACCAAGGCGACGAUGGGUAUCCGGCCUGAGAGGGUGAACGGACACAUUGGGACUGAGAUACGGCCCAAACUCCUACGGGAGGCAGCAGCUAAGAAUCUUCCGCAAUGGACGAAAGUCUGACGGAGCGACGCCGUGUGAAUGAAGAAGGCCGAAAGGUUGUAAAGUUCUUUUGCAGAUGAAGAAUAAGGGCAAGAGGGAAUGCUUGUCUGAU